rnacentral:rRNA from 1 species
UACGAAGGGGGCGAGCGUUGUUCGGAAUUACUGGGCGUAAAGGGCGCGUAGGCGGCGAACCAAGUCAGAUGUGAAAGUCCUGGGCUUAACCUGGGGACUGCAUUUGAUACUGGUUUGCUUGAAUUCGGGAGAGGAUAGCCGGAAUUCCCAGUGUAGAGGUGAAAUUCGUAGAUAUUGGGAAGAACACCGGUGGCGAAGGCGGCUAUCUCGGACCCGACAUUGACGCUGAGGCGCGAAAGCGUGGGGAGCAAACAGG